AGCGGCGAACGGGUGAGUAACACGUGGGCAACCUUUCCUAUCGCGGGGGAUAACAGCGGGAAACCGCUGCUAAUACCGCAUGUCGUCACCGGUCGCAUGGCCGGUGAAGAAAGCAGCAAUGUACGAUGGGGUGGGCCCGCGGCCUAUCAGCUAGUCGGUGGGGUAACGGCCUACCGAGGCGAUGACGGGUAGCUGGUCUGAGAGGACGACCAGCCACACGGGGACUGAGACACGGCCCCGACUCCUACGGGAGGCAGCAGUGAGGAAUCUUCCGCAAUGGGCGAAAGCCUGACGGAGCGACGCCGCGUGUGGGAUGAAGUCCUUCGGGAUGUAAACCACUGUUGGAGGGGAAGACUUCGACGGUACCCUCCGAGAAAGCCCCGGCUAACUACGUGCCAGCAGCCGCGGUAAUACGUAGGGGGCUAGCGUUAUCCAGAUUUACUGGGCGUAAAGCGCGUGUAGGCGGUCGGUUAAGUGUGAUGUGAAAUCCUCGGGCUCAACCCGAGAACUGCAUUGCAAACUGGCCUGGCUAGAGUGCAGGAGAGGGAAGCGGAAUUCCAGGUGUAGCGGUGAAAUGCGUAGAUAUCUGGAGGAACACCAGUGGCGAAGGCGGCUUUCUGGCCUGUAACUGACGCUGAGACGCGAAAGCGUGGGGAGCGAACCGGAUUAGAUACCCGGGUAGUCCACGCCCUAAACGUUGCGAACUAGGUGUUGGUCGGAUUGACCCGAUCAGUGCCGCAGCUAACGCAUUAAGUUCGCCGCCUGGGGACUACGGCCGCAAGGUUAAAACUCAAAGGAAUAGGCGGGGGCCCGCACAAGCAGCGGAGCGUGUGGUUUAAUUCGA
rnacentral:rRNA from 1 species